CUACGUGCCAGCAGCCGCGGUAAUACGGAAGGUCCAGGCGUUAUCCGGAUUUAUUGGGUUUAAAGGGAGUGUAGGCGGUUUGUUAAGCGUGUUGUGAAAUUUAGAUGCUCAACAUUUAACUUGCAGCGCGAACUGUCAGACUUGAGUACACGCAACGUAUGCGGAAUUCAUGGUGUAGCGGUGAAAUGCUUAGAUAUCAUGAAGAACUCCGAUUGCGAAGGCAGCUGACGGGAGCGCAACUGACGCUUAAGCUCGAAGGUGCGGGUAUCGAACAGGAUUAGAUACCCUGGUAGUCCGCACAGUAAACGAUGGAUGCCCGCUGUUGGUACCUGGUAUCAGCGGCUAAGCGAAAGCAUUAAGCAUCCCACCUGGGGAGUACGCCGGCAACGGUGAAACUCAAAGGAAUUGACGGGGGCCCGCACAAGCGGAGGAACAUGUGGUUUAAUUCGAUGAUACGCGAGGAACCUUACCCGGGCUUGAAUUGCAGACGAACGAUUCAGAGA
rnacentral:rRNA from 1 species